rnacentral:rRNA from 1 species
AUGCCUGACUCCAUCAUUUGGAAGCUCACCAAGGAUGGUCACUAUUCUGCAGCAACGGCUUACAGUGCGCAGUUUCUCGGUUUAGUCGACUCGGACUUGCCUCAAAUUGUUUGGACAACUUGGGCCCCCUCAAAAUGCAAGUUUUUUGCUUGGCUAGUCAUCAACAAUAGAAUCUGGACGACAGACCGGCUUCAGAAGCAAGGGUGGCCUAAUUGCAACAUGUGCCCCUUGUGCAAGCAAGUCCAGGAAUCGGCGGCUCAUCUGCUUUUCAAAUGCCGCUACACGGUUAGAGUAUGGAACAUGAUUAAAGUGUGGUUUGGCCUUCAUGACAUUUACCCGCAGAACUGGGCCAUGGUUGACACGGUGAAGAAUUGGUGGAGCGCCAACGCUUCCAACACGACGCAAUCUCGACGACCGCUUACCUACCUUAUGCUGCUCGUCUCAUGGGAAAUUUGGAAAGAGCGGAAUGCUAGGCUAUUUCGUAAUGUCGCAGUGCCUGUUGGGGUUUUUGUAGCUAGAAUCAAAGACAAGACGGCGCUAUGGUGUCUGGCCGGUGCGAAACAUUUGUGUAAUAUCAUGCCGCGAGAGUGA